GAUAAUAAUCAUGAGUUCAUAAUUUUGCAUCAGGACCUAGAAGCACUUUUUCUCAUACAUUGGCAUAUCGUAUCAAUGGAGCAUGGGCGACCCAUGGUGCACAUACAGCUUGCUACCGAAGUACCCAUCAGUGGCACAUAUCAGUGCUUUGUUCUUUGGAGGCAUAUACCCGAGGAUCAGUCUAAGUCAGAAGAGAUGAUACACAGGUACAUAUAUAUGCUCAAUUACCUCUGGCCGCGUACACAUGGAUAAGGCAAGAUGGAAGCUCACACUACCGAUACUAAUGUAAGACCAAAGCCGAUCUAGGAAGGGAUGUUGGGCUCUUGGCGCCCCCGAGUCAUGUCUGAAAAAAUCAGCACUGCAGAUUGUUUGGUAAGCUCCGUGAACUCCAAUAGAUGUCCUCAUUAUUUACUUCACAAACAGCUUAAACUUAUAGAAGAAGCACGCGUUUAUGAAACUUGGAUGGAAGGUGUCAUAGGUAAAAUAAGACGGCAGAUGACUUGAUGCAUUAUGCCAAACCAGUUAUGGAUAUGAAUAGUUCUUUCAUUUAAAGGAUACAGUUCGCUCCAUGUUUCGGCAGACAAAUUCAGAGGAAUAAUAUAUAUGUCGCUGUUGUUUUUUUUGCAGGGAAAAUAUAUCACAGUUGCUAGCAUCUUCUUUUUACGUUAAACUUAAAUAACAUUUUUUUGUGUCCAAAAUAUAUAUUAGAUACUUCCUACUGUAUACUUCAAACUCAGUCGGGAUAGUUCGUAUCUCUUUUCAAGAUGCAUCAUAUAUCACAUGGAGGAUUUUAGAGUUUGUCGAAGUCACACUGAUACGAUCUUUGGUGUUGCUUAAAUUUGCAUCAAUGGUGCGAUAUACAAUCAUAAUUAAAUGCACCUAACAAUACACUGAAUCGUUUAGGGAAUGAUACAUUGAAUCAUACUCCACUUUGCACGUUAUUUUUAUUACUAUCUUUGAUUUUGUAUUGGAAUCAACUGGGCACUACUAAAUGCAACAUACAUGGUUUUAGGUAGUGGACUUGCCAAGUAUACAAGAUUUUCAAUCGCAAUUUUAUGAAUGGAGAAGGUAGUAUUUUUUUGGUAGAAUAUAUAUUUACCCUCAUUAGAGUAUAGUAUGUUACAUAAUAAUUCAGGGCUCUAUGAGAUUCAGUUAUUAGAGAUACAAAUAUUGGUGAAUAUGGCCAUGUUAUCAUGUAUACUAUCUUUUUUUCCUUUGAUAUAUAGUGCGAGUACAGAUCUACCAACCACUCCCAAAAUAUAUAACAACUUAAUAGACUAUUUGUGUAACAUAAUUUAAACCGUACAUAAUAUAUGUUAAUUAUCCAAUCAGGAAUUAAUUGAAAAUGAAUGUAUCAUUUCUGGCACUCCGUAACCAAUAUGCAUGGUUUCAUGUUAUUAGUUCCAAAAAAGUAUUCAAAUUAGUAUUAUAAUUUAUUCUUCCAACCAAUUUAAAAGAAGGUCAGCUUAUAUACAACUACUAAAAUAGGCUAGCCCGUGCAGAUGCACGGGUUGGCGGCUAGUACUUGCUAAUUGAUGUUUUGAGGGGUGCUCAUAUACUUACUCGGCAACAUGGAAAGUUUUCACAUUUGUUCUAGCUGUCUCUAUGGGUUAGCGACUUAGCAUACAUGUUGUAAUAAGGUUUCACAUUUGCUUCUCUCACAAGUAAGGUCUGUUUUUAUUCAUAGGUAGAAGAUAGCGAAAGAGUGCUGCAGGAUAAUGAGAUGUUGAAGCGGCAGACUGAAUCCAUGACACCGAAGUGCAAUUGCGGCAGAUUAUCUCUAUCUUUUCUUUUCAUUUUUCUUAUUAUUGAGUGAGAACAGAAUGAGGAACUGUGUGAUAGUACAUACAACAACUGUAGUAAAAAGAAACUUAUGUUUGCAAUUGUUAAUGACAUAGAUACUUGCAUGUUCUUUCAAGUGGUCAUUUGUGAGUAGCAAUGCAUAAUGAGGUUUUUUGGCUGAUUUAUUUCCUUUGGUUUCCGGUUAACCAUGAAAUAGGAGCCCAGCAGUGCUCACUAUUGUGUUUACUGGGAACUGUAUGCAUAAAACUAUUGUGUUUACUGGGAACUGUAUGCAUAAAAUG
rnacentral:lncRNA from 1 species